AUUGAACGCUGGCGGCAGGCCUAACACAUGCAAGUCGAGCGGAUGACGGGAGCUUGCUCCUUGAUUCAGCGGCGGACGGGUGAGUAAUGCCUAGGAAUCUGCCUGGUAGUGGGGGACAACGUUUCGAAAGGAACGCUAAUACCGCAUACGUCCUACGGGAGAAAGCAGGGGACCUUCGGGCCUUGCGCUAUCAGAUGAGCCUAGGUCGGAUUAGCUAGUUGGUGGGGUAAUGGCUCACCAAGGCGACGAUCCGUAACUGGUCUGAGAGGAUGGUCAGUCACACUGGAACUGAGACACGGUCCAGACUCCUACGGGAGGCAGCAGUGGGGAAUAUUGGACAGUGGGCGAAAGCCUGAUCCAGCCAUGCCGCGUGUGUGAAGAAGGUCUUCGGAUUGUAAAGCACUUUAAGUUGGGAGGAAGGGCAGUAAGUUAAUACCUUGCUGUUUUGACGUUACCGACAGAAUAAGCACCGGCUAACUCUGUGCCAGCCGCCGCGGUAA
rnacentral:rRNA from 1 species